rfam:Monosiga brevicollis MX1 MONBRscaffold_3 genomic scaffold, whole genome shotgun sequence.
AUCCCCUUAGCUCAGUUGGUUAGAGCGCAGGUCUAAUAAACCUGAGGUCGUGAGUUCGAGCCUCGCAGGGGAUA